rnacentral:rRNA from 1 species
UCCGUUUGAUCCUGGCGGAGGCCACUGCUAUCGGAGUUCGAUUAAGCCAUGCGAGUCGAGAGGUGUAAGACCUCGGCAUACUGCUCAGUAACACGUGGACAACCUACCCUGAAGAGGGGGAUAACCCCGGGAAACUGGGGAUAAUACCCCAUAGACUAUGGAUGCUGGAAUGCUUUGUAGUUGAAAGGUCCGCCGCUUCAGGAUGGGUCUGCGGCCGAUUAGGUUGUUGUUGGGGUAACGGCCCAACAAGCCUGUAAUCGGUACGGGUUGUGGGAGCAAGAGCCCGGAGAUGGAUUCUGAGACACGAAUCCAGGCCCUACGGGGCGCAGCAGGCGCGAAAACUUUACAAUGCGAGAAAUCGUGAUAAGGGAACUCCGAGUGCCCGUAAAAUCGGGCUGUCCGCCAGUGUAAAUAACUGGUGAAGAAAGGGCCGGGCAAGACCGGUGCCAGCCGCCGCGGUAAUACCGGCGGCUCGAGUGGUGGCCACUAUUACUGGGCUUAAAGCGUUCGUAGCUGGUCUGUUAAGUCUCUGGGGAAAUCUUCCGGCUUAACCGGAAGGCGUCUCAGGGAUACUGGCAGACUAGGGACCGGAAGAGGUGAGAGGUACUCCAGGGGUAGGAGUGAAAUCCUGUAAUCCUUGGGGGACCACCUGUGGCGAAGGCGUCUCACCAGGACGGCUCCGACAGUGAGGAACGAAAGCUGGGGGAGCAAACCGGAUUAGAUACCCGGGUAGUCCCAGCUGUAAACGAAGCGCGUUAGGUGUAUCGGUGACCACGAGUCACCGAGGUGCCGAAGAGAAAUCGUGAAACGCGCCGCCUGGGAAGUACGGUCGCAAGGCUGAAACUUAAAGGAAUUGGCGGGGGAGCACCACAACGGGUGGAGCCUGCGGUUUAAUCGGACUCAACGCCGGGAAACUCACCGGACAAGACAGCUGAAUGAUAGUCGGGCUGAAGACUCUACUUGACUAGCUGAGAGGAGGUGCAUGGCCGUCGUCAGUUCGUACUGUGAAGCAUCCUGUUAAGUCAGGCAACGAGCGAGACCCA